CACUAUCGUUAACUGAAUACAUAGGUUAACGAGGCGAACCGGGGGAACUGAAACAUCUAAGUACCCCGAGGAAAAGAAAUCAACCGAGAUUCCCCCAGUAGCGGCGAGCGAACGGGGAGCAGCCCAGAGUCUGAAUCAGCUUGUGUGUUAGUGGAACGGUCUGGAAAGUCCGACGGUACAGGGUGAUAGUCCCGUACACCAAAAUGCACAGGUUGUGAACUCGAAGAGUAGGGCGGGACACGUGGUAUCCUGUCUGAAUAUGGGGGGACCAUCCUCCAAGGCUAAAUACUCCUGACUGACCGAUAGUGAACCAGUACCGUGAGGGAAAGGCGAAAAGAACCCCGGCGAGGGGAGUGAAAAAGAACCUGAAACCGUGUACGUACAAGCAGUGGGAGCACCUUCGGGUGUGACUGCGUACCUUUUGUAUAAUGGGUCAGCGACUUAUAUUCUGUAGCAAGGUUAACCGUAUAGGGGAGCCGCAGGGAAACCGAGUCUUAACUGGGCGUUAAGUUGCAGGGUAUAGACCCGAAACCCGGUGAUCUAGCCAUGGGCAGGUUGAAGGUUGGGUAACACUAACUGGAGGACCGAACCGACUAAUGUUGAAAAAUUAGCGGAUGACUUGUGGCUGGGGGUGAAAGGCCAAUCAAACCGGGAGAUAGCUGGUUCUCCCCGAAAGCUAUUUAGGUAGCGCCUCGUGAACUCAUCUUCGGGGGUAGAGCACUGUUUCGGCUAGGGGGUCAUCCCGACUUACCAACCCGAUGCAAACUACGAAUACCGAAGAAUGUUAUCACGGGAGACACACGGCGGGUGCUAACGUCCGUCGUGAAGAGGGAAACAACCCAGACCGCCAGCUAAGGUCCCAAAGUCAUGGUUAAGUGGGAAACGAUGUGGGAAGGCACAGACAGCCAGGAUGUUGGCUUAGAAGCAGCCAUCAUUUAAAGAAAGCGUAAUAGCUCACUGGUCGAGUCGGCCUGCGCGGAAGAUGUAACGGGGCUAAACCAUGCACCGAAGCUGCGGCAGCGACACUAUGUGUUGUUGGGUAGGGGAGCGUUCUGUAAGCCUGCGAAGGUGUGCUGUGAGGCAUGCUGGAGGUAUCAGAAGUGCGAAUGCUGACAUAAGUAACGAUAAAGCGGGUGAAAAGCCCGCUCGCCGGAAGACCAAGGGUUCCUGUCCAACGUUAAUCGGGGCAGGGUGAGUCGACCCCUAAGGCGAGGCCGAAAGGCGUAGUCGAUGGGAAACAGGUUAAUAUUCCUGUACUUGGUGUUACUGCGAAGGGGGGACGGAGAAGGCUAUGUUAGCCGGGCGACGGUUGUCCCGGUUUAAGCAUGUAGGCUGAUUAUCCAGGCAAAUCCGGAUAAUCAAGGCUGAGGUGUGAUGACGAGGCACUACGGUGCUGAAGUAACAAAUGCCCUGCUUCCAGGAAAAGCCUCUAAGCAUCAGGUAACAUCAAAUCGUACCCCAAACCGACACAGGUGGUCAGGUAGAGAAUACCAAGGCGCUUGAGAGAACUCGGGUGAAGGAACUAGGCAAAAUGGUGCCGUAACUUCGGGAGAAGGCACGCUGGUGUGUAGGUGAAGCCCCUGCGGGUGGAGCUGAGACCAGUCGAAGAUACCAGCUGGCUGCAACUGUUUAUUAAAAACACAGCACUGUGCAAACACGAAAGUGGACGUAUACGGUGUGACGCCUGCCCGGUGCCGGAAGGUUAAUUGAUGGGGUUAUCCGUAAGGAGAAGCUCUUGAUCGAAGCCCCGGUAAACGGCGGCCGUAACUAUAACGGUCCUAAGGUAGCGAAAUUCCUUGUCGGGUAAGUUCCGACCUGCACGAAUGGCGUAAUGAUGGCCAGGCUGUCUCCACCCGAGACUCAGUGAAAUUGAACUCGCUGUGAAGAUGCAGUGUACCCGCGGCAAGACGGAAAGACCCCGUGAACCUUUACUAUAGCUUGACACUGAACAUUGAGCCUUGAUGUGUAGGAUAGGUGGGAGGCUUUGAAGCGUGGACGCCAGUCUGCGUGGAGCCAACCUUGAAAUACCACCCUUUAAUGUUUGAUGUUCUAACGUUGGCCCCUUACCGGGGUUGCGGACAGUGUCUGGUGGGUAGUUUGACUGGGGCGGUCUCCUCCCAAAGCGUAACGGAGGAGCACGAAGGUUAGCUAAUCCUGGUCGGACAUCAGGAGGUUAGUGCAAUGGCAUAAGCUAGCUUGACUGCGAGCGUGACGGCGCGAGCAGGUGCGAAAGCAGGUCAUAGUGAUCCGGUGGUUCUGAAUGGAAGGGCCAUCGCUCAACGGAUAAAAGGUACUCCGGGGAUAACAGGCUGAUACCGCCCAAGAGUUCAUAUCGACGGCGGUGUUUGGCACCUCGAUGUCGGCUCAUCACAUCCUGGGGCUGAAGUAGGUCCCAAGGGUAUGGCUGUUCGCCAUUUAAAGUGGUACGCGAGCUGGGUUUAGAACGUCGUGAGACAGUUCGGUCCCUAUCUGCCGUGGGCGCUGGAGAAUUGAGGGGGGCUGCUCCUAGUACGAGAGGACCGGAGUGGACGCAUCACUGGUGUUCGGGUUGUCAUGCCAAUGGCACUGCCCGGUAGCUAAAUGCGGAAGAGAUAAGUGCUGAAAGCAUCUAAGCACGAAACUUGCCCCGAGAUGAGUUCUCCCUGAGACUUUAAGUCUCCUGAAGGAACGUUGAAGACGACGACGUUGAUAGGCCGGGUGUGUAAGCGCAGCGAUGCGUUGAGCUAACCGGUACUAAUGAACCGUGAGGCUUAACCUU
rnacentral:rRNA from 1 species